rnacentral:lncRNA from 1 species
GGAUAAAUCUUGUUUAAAUCGAUGUAGUCAAUGUAUAUCCUUCAUUUGCUAUUAGUUUUUUUAACCAUUACUACAUUUGCCAGUCAAUUCAGAUAGUUUGCUUCUCAGCAGCUUGCAACUUAUUGACUUCUUCAUCGAUGGCCUUUUGUCUUUCAAGAGCAUAAUUUCUCUUCUUUUGACGUACCGACCUGCAGUUGGAAUCAACAUUUAAUUUAUGGACAAUUAUGUCAGAAGGAAUAACCGGCAUGUCGGAAGCCUUCCAAAUAAAGACGUUGGCAUUUUUUCAUAGAAAAUCUACAAGCUUCUCCCAA